rnacentral:misc_RNA from 1 species
CUUGCCUCGCCCACCCCACAAAAAUCUUAGUCAAAAGGCUAAUAAGUCGCACAGAACAAGGCUUCCUGAGUUACAAGCUUUCAGAAGGAGUAGAUACACACAUGGAAGCUAUUUCAAUCUCUGAACCUGUGACCUACACAUCACAAGGUAGCAACCUCAUCGUUGCACAAAGGCCUACCCCUAGGCAAAUGGCUGAUAUGUAAUUAUUAAACUUGAAACACAUAGACUUUUGCAAGUGCUAGAUAGCCAGGAAUUAAUAGAUCACCUAUCAAUUGAUACAUGCAAAUACAAGCACAAAAUGCUCUGCUAUUGAAUAUGAUAAGGUAUAGUAUUACGACUCCUGACCAAGGAUGAGAGUGUCACAAAUAAGAAUAGCUGAGCAGAGCAAAACAUUUUCACAAUUAAAAAG